UCCAGGCGCGUGGGAGGAUACUGCCAACGAGGUCCUUUGCCGCUCGUUAUCGCGCAUGCGCACUGCUCUCCGAUCAACUUAAAAAUUGAAAUCCAACCAAAGAAGGCAUAUUUGCUAUUGAAAGAGCUCAACUCAUGCCUCUGGAUGAUGGAUGGAAUUUGGAAGUUUGUCCUUCAAACACCACAAGAAAUUUCCAUGUAAGGUACCACGAGGGAGAAGAUUUGCUGUCUUGAAAGGCGAAGAAACUACUAAAAUAGUAAAUGUUAGAGUAUGAAGCUUGCUUUGUUUUUGUCCGUGAUGUGCCAGGUGAUCACUUACUCAAGAGCCAAUAUUAUUUGCUUACACAGAUUCCAGUACUGUAUCCUAA